UCCUAUGUCUUUCAAUUUUUAAUGAAGAUAUUUUGUGUUUUUAUGUAGUUUUGUUUUGCCGCGAAGUAAGAACUGAAAUAAUUGAAUGAGAAAUAUAUUUUUAAGUAAACUCGAGGAAGCCUGUCUGACUCCAGCAGAGGAGAAUCUUUACAAGUGGCCAAUGCGCAUUAGAUGGCGACUGGAAAUCUGAAGUUUGGAAAUCAGCAUUAAUCCAAGAAGAAAUUUUUGAUGACACAGAUUCUUGAAGACAAACAUAAUUCAGAACAUUUUUGGAUUUCUUUAGGAAAUGUUCUAUGGAAAAAAAUGUCCCAAUGACUUUUGCGAAUAUAUUCUAAGUUAGAUCCAAUAACAGGAUACCAAUAGGCAUUAAAAUAAAAAAAGACCAAUAUUUUUUUGCAAUAUUUGUGUCAAAAUAAGAUGGAACUUCAUGACUUUUCAAGUGCAGCAGAACCUCGUUUACUCGAUGGACCGCAGAGAACCGUGACUCCUUAUUAAUAAAUUCGUUUAUCUCUAA